GACGAACGCUGGCGGCGUGCUUAACGCAUGCAAAUCGAACGGAAAGGCCCUGCUUUUGUGGGGUGCUCGAGUGGCGAACGGGUGAGUAACACGUGAGUAACCUGCCCUUGCCUUUGGGAUAACUUCAGGAAACUGGGGCUAAUACCGGAUAGGAGCUCCUGCUGCAUGGUGGGGGUUGGAAAGUUUCGGCGGUUGGGGAUGGACUCGCGGCGUAUCAGCUUGUUGGUGGGGUAGUGGCGUACCAAGGCUUUGACGGGUGGCCGGCCUGAGAGGGUGACCGGCCACAGUGGGACUGAGAUGGGGGCCAGACGCCUACGGUAGGCAGCAGUGGGGAAAAGUGCGCAAUGGGCGGAAGGCGUGUGCAGCAACGCCGCGUGGGGGAUGACGGCCUUCGGGUUGUAAACCGCGUUCGCCUGGGACGAAGCGUGAGUGACGGUAGUGGGUAAAGAAGCGCCGGCUAACUACGUG
rnacentral:rRNA from 1 species